GACGUAGGGUGCGAGCGUUGUCCGGAUUUAUUGGGCGUAAAGAGCUCGUAGGCGGCUUGUUGCGUCGACUGUGAAGACCCGCGGCUUAACCGCGGGCUUGCAGUUGAUACGGGCAGGCUAGAGUUCGGUAGGGGAGACUGGAAUUCCUGGUGUAGCGGUGAAAUGCGCAGAUAUCAGGAGGAACACCGGUGGCGAAGGCGGGUCUCUGGACAGUUCCUGACACUGAGACACGAAGGCCAGGGGAGCAAACGGG
rnacentral:rRNA from 1 species